UACGUAGGGGGCAAGCGUUGUCCGGAUUUAUUGGGCGUAAAGAGCGUGUAGGCGGCCAGGUAGGUCAGCUGUGAAAACUCGAGGCUCAACCUCGAGACGCCGGUUGAAACCAUCUGGCUAGAGUCCGGAAGAGGAGAGUGGAAUUCCUGGUGUAGCGGUGAAAUGCGCAGAUAUCAGGAAGAACACCCGUGGCUAAGGCGGCUCUCUAGUACGGUACUGACGCUGAUGCGCGAAAGCGUGGGGAGCAAACAGG
rnacentral:rRNA from 1 species